rnacentral:rRNA from 1 species
GACGUAGGGCGCGAGCGUUGUCCGGAUUUAUUGGGCGUAAAGAGCUCGUAGGCGGCUUGUUGCGUCGACUGUGAAAACCCGCGGCUUAACUGCGGGCUUGCAGUUGAUACGGGCAGGCUAGAGUUCGGUAGGGGAGACUGGAAUUCCUGGUGUAGCGGUGAAAUGCGCAGAUAUCAGGAGGAACACCGGUGGCGAAGGCGGGUCUCUGGGCUGAUACUGACGCUGAGGAGCGAAAGCGUGGGGAGCGAACAGG